CGGAGCUAAUACCGGAUAAUAUAUUGAACCGCAUGGUUCAAUAGUGAAAGACGGUUUUGCUGUCACUUAUAGAUGGAUCCGCGCCGCAUUAGCUAGUUGGUAAGGUAACGGCUUACCAAGGCAACGAUGCGUAGCCGACCUGAGAGGGUGAUCGGCCACACUGGAACUGAGACACGGUCCAGACUCCUACGGGAGGCAGCAGUAGGGAAUCUUCCGCAAUGGGCGAAAGCCUGACGGAGCAACGCCGCGUGAGUGAUGAAGGUCUUCGGAUCGUAAAACUCUGUUAUUAGGGAAGAACAAAUGUGUAAGUAACUAUGCACGUCUUGACGGUACCUAAUCAGAAAGCCACGGCUAACUACGUGCCAGCAGCCGCGGUAAUACGUAGGUGGCAAGCGUUAUCCGGAAUUAUUGGGCGUAAAGCGCGCGUAGGCGGGUUUUUUAAGUCUGAUGUGAAAGCCCACGGCUCAACCGUGGAGGGUCAUUGGAAACUGGGAAAACUUGGAGUGCAGGAAGAAGGAAAGGGGGAAUUCCAUGG
rnacentral:rRNA from 1 species